rnacentral:rRNA from 1 species
UUAAAUGGCCGCGGUACCCUAACCGUGCGAAGGUAGCAUAAUCACUUGUUCGUUAAAUCCGGACUAGUAUGAACGGCCCCACGAGGGUUGCACUGUCUCCCUACUUUAAUCAAUUAAACUAAUCUCCCCGUGAAGAAGCGGGGAUCAAAAUAUAAGACGAGAAGACCCCAUGGAGCUUAAAACCCAGAACCAACUACUAAAAAUUUUCAUUAAAACCCGUAUACCUGGCCCCUGGUUUUUGGUUGGGGCGACCGCGGAGUAAAACACAUCCUCCACGAUGAAUAGACAUUUUACUUAAGAGCUACACCUCUAAAGAUCCUAAAUAAGACAUUCACUGACCCAAACACUUGAUCAACGAACCUAGUUACCCUGGGGAUAACAGCGCAAUCCAUUUCAAGAGCCCCUAUCGACAAAUGGGUUUACGACCUCGA